CCGCAAGGGUGCAAGAUCAUCGUGGGGCCCAUUGCAUGGGCUCCGAGUAUGCUUGAUUGCCAUGUCGGAGGCGAAGGUGCUAGAGCUUGGUGGCGUGUUUGCAUUUCUGGAUGCAUGAAUAAUUGUCAAGGAGGCUGAAGCCAGCGCUAUUACAGUUGGACUGAAGGAAUUGUAUAACGUAUUCUGAGGCUCCUUGGUGGUGGAGAUCGACUACGCAGUGGGGAAAUGAGCUAGGGGCUGAUUCUAACUGUCAAGAGGGACAAACAAUGGGCUGGCUCAUGAACUAGCCAAUGAUGCUAAAGCUCAUGGAGACCUUGUGGUUGCGUAUGGUGUCCCGGACCAACUCCAUGAUCAGCUCUGGAAGGAAAACAAUGCAGCCUUGACGUCGGCCUAAGUCUUGA